AUCUAAAUAGUUUAUAGUUAAAAUUUUGAUUUGUGGUAUCAAGGAAAUAGUUUUAUUUUAGAUU
rnacentral:tRNA from 1 species